UACGUAGGGCGCAAGCGUUUGUCCGGAAUUAUUGGGCGUAAAGAGCUCGUAGGCGGUGUGUCGCGUCGGAUGUGAAAGCCCGGGGCUUAACCCCGGGUCUGCAUUCGAUACGGGCAGACGUGGAGUGGUGGUGAGGGGAGGACUGGAAUUCCUGGUGUAGCGGUGAAAUGCGCAGAUAUCAGGAGGAACACCGGUGGCGAAGGCGGGUCUCUGGGCAACAACUGACGCUGAGGAGCGAAAGCGUGGGGAGCGAACAGG
rnacentral:rRNA from 1 species